rnacentral:rRNA from 1 species
AUGUCCUCCGCCUCCGCCCCCGCCCCCGACUCCGAUCACUGCGACGCCGGAGCCAUCAUGGCCGACGUCCUCUCCAAGGGCCGCGAAUCCUGCUACAAGGCCCGGGACGCCUUCUACGCGUGCGUGGAGAAGCACGCGGACAAGAAGCCCACCGAGAUCGCCACCAUGGGGCUCCUCUUCCCCGCCGACUGCAAGAAAUCCCGCGCCCAGUACGUCAGCAGCUGCCGCCCCUCCUGGGUGAGGCACUUCGACCGGCAGCACUGCGCCAAGAAGCGGGUGCAGAGGCUGCUCGACGGCGACGACGACGGCCGGGGUCCCAUGUCGCUGCCCCAGCCCUACACGUUCAAGCAAUAA